UGAGCUGUGAUGGGGAGAAGACAUUGUGUCUUCGAGUCGUUGAUUUCACACUGCCGAGAAAAGCCUCUAGAUAGAAAAUAGGUGCCCGUACCGCAAACCGACACAGGUAGUCAAGAUGAGAAUUCUAAGGUGAGCGAGCGAACUCUCGUUAAGGAACUCGGCAAAAUGACCCCGUAACUUCGGGAGAAGGGGUGCUCUUUAGGGUUAACGCCCAGAAGAGCCGCAGUGAAUAGGCCCAAGCGACUGUUUAUCAAAAACACAGGUCUCUGCUAAACCGUAAGGUGAUGUAUAGGGGCUGACGCCUGCCCGGUGCUGGAAGGUUAAGAGGAGUGGUUAGCUUCUGCGAAGCUACGAAUCGAAGCCCCAGUAAACGGCGGCCGUAACUAUAACGGUCCUAAGGUAGCGAAAUUCCUUGUCGGGUAAGUUCCGACCCGCACGAAAGGCGUAACGAUUUGGGCACUGUCUCAACGAGAGACUCGGUGAAAUCAUAGUACCUGUGAAGAUGCAGGUUACCCGCGACAGGACGGAAAGACCCCGUGGAGCUUUACUGUAGCCUGAUAUUGAAAUUCGGCACAGCUUGUACAGGAUAGGUAGGAGCCUUUGAAACGUGAGCGCUAGCUUACGUGGAGGCGCUGGUGGGAUACUACCCUAGCUG
rnacentral:rRNA from 2 species